UACGAAGGGGGCGAGCGUUGUUCGGAAUUACUGGGCGUAAAGGGCGCGUAGGCGGCCGAUCAAGUCAGAUGUGAAAGUCCUGGGCCUAACCUGGGGACUGCAUUUGAUACUGAUUGGCUUGAAUUCGGGAGAGGAUAGCGGAAUUCCCAGUGUAGAGGUGAAAUUCGUAGAUAUUGGGAAGAACACCGGUGGCGAAGGCGGCUAUCUGGACCGACAUUGACGCUGAUGCGCGAAAGCGUGGGGAGCAAACAGG
rnacentral:rRNA from 1 species